AUCUACAGCUAUACUACCUGAACAUGCCUGACCUCAUCUGAUCUUGGAAGCUAAGCAGGGUUGGGUCUGGUUAGUUCUUGAAUGGGAGAUCACCUGGGAAUACCGCAUGCUGUAGGCU
rnacentral:rRNA from 1 species